rnacentral:rRNA from 1 species
GACGAACGCUGGCGGCGUGCUUAACACAUGCAAGUCGAGCGGUAAGGCCCUUUCGGGGGUACACGAGCGGCGAACGGGUGAGUAACACGUGGGUGACCUGCCCUCAGCUCUGGGAUAAGCCUGGGAAACCGGGUCUAAUACUGGAUAUGACUCCAUGACGCAUGUUGUGGGGUGGAAAGCCUUGUGCGGCUGAGGAUGGGCCCGCGGCCUAUCAGCUUGUUGGUGGGGUGA